rnacentral:miRNA from 1 species
UUUGGCACUGGCACAAUUUUGC